UACAGAGGGUGCGAGCGUUAAUCGGAAUUACUGGGCGUAAAGCGUGCGUAGACGGUUAUGUAAGUCGGAUGUGAAAGCCCAGGGCUCAACCUUGGAAUUGCAUUCGAGACUGCAUAGCUAGGAUGCGGAAGAGGGAAGCGGAAUUUCCGGUGUAGCGGUGAAAUGCGUAGAUAUCGGAAGGAACACCAGUGGCGAAAGCGGCUUCCUGGUCCAGCAUCGACGUUCAGGCACGAAAGCGUGGGGAGCAAACAGG
rnacentral:rRNA from 1 species